UCCCUCCGUUUCAUAAAGAUUGGC
rnacentral:miRNA from 1 species